UUAUUGGGUUUAAGGGUCCGUAGGCGGAUCUGUAAGUCAGUGGUGAAAUCUCACAGCUUAACUGUGAAACUGCCAUUGAUACUGCAGGUCUUGAGUGUUAUUGAAGUAGCUGGAAUAAGUAGUGUAGCGGUGAAAUGCAUAGAUAUUACUUAGAACACCAAUUGCGAAGGCAGGUUACUAAGCAACAACUGACGCUGAUGGACGAAAGCGUGGGGAGCGAACAGGAUUAGAUACCCUGGUAGUCCACGCCGUAAACGAUGCUAACUCGUUUUUGGUUUUUCGGAAUCAGAGACUAAGCGAAAGUGAUAAGUUAGCCACCUGGGGAGUACGUUCGCAAGAAUGAAACUCAAAGGAAUUGACGGGGGCCCGCACAAGCGGUGGAUUAUGUGGUUUAAUUCGAUGAUACGCGAGGAACCUUACCAAGGCUUAAAUGGGAAAUGACAGGUUUAGAAAUAGACUUUUCUUCGGACAUUUUUCAAGGUGCUGCAUGGUUGUCGUCAGCUCGUGCCGUGAGGUGUUAGGUUAAGUCCUGCAACGAGCGCAACCCCUGUCACUAGUUGCCAUCAUUAAGUUGGGGACUCUAGUGAGACUGCCUACGCAAGUAGAGAGGAAGGUGGGGAUGACGUCAAAUCAUCACGGCCCUUACGCCUUGGGCCACACACGUAAUACAAUGGCCGGUACAGAGGGCAGCUACACAGCGAUGUGAUGCAAAUCUCGAAAGCCGGUCUCAGUUCGGAUUGGAGUCUGCAACUCGACUCUAUGAAGCUGGAAUCGCUAGUAAUCGCGCAUCAGCCAUGGCGCGGUGAAUACGUCCCCGGGCUUGUACACACCGCCCGUGCAAGCCAUGGAAGUCUGGGGUACCUGAAGUCGGUGACCGUAACAGGAGCUGCCUAGGGUAAACAAGUAACUAGGUCUAGUCUAACAAGGGAGCCGUACGGAGGGCCGCUGGAUCUCUACUAUAAGUUC
rnacentral:rRNA from 1 species